GAGGUUCAGGGCCGCGAGGGACUGGGAGGUCGAAACCAGCUGGAACUUGGUCAUUAACAGGGGAGUGGCCGCCCCCGGGGUGGCCUCGCCAGGAAGCAGGAAGCGGUACAGGGUUUGGGAUGGAGCCUGAGAAUGUGCUUUUCUGAUAAGUUCACAUGUGGUGCUGAUAAUGUUGGUCCAUGGACUUCACUUUGAGAACCACUUGGCCAACUGCUGUAGCCGAUAGCUCCAAGAGAGUCCCGCAGCCCCAAGGUGAAAUUGGUACAAUAGGGAAGCAGCAGAAGGUCCUGACAUCUGAGUGCCUCAGGCUCACCAUUGAACUACUGCUGACAAGUGGCCAGCUACUAUUUGGCCAUAUGACUGAAUUUCAGCCAACAGAGUGUGAGAAGAAACCAAGGUAUUAUUUCCAAACUAAGAAUCUUAAGCACUAGGUGAGCCUUCACCGUACUGUUUCCUUCCCAUUGGCUUGUUGCAGAAGACGCUGAGACCCUAAGGGAUGACAGAACUACAAAACAGAGGCUUUCGUGGCCCUGAAACACUGUGUGAACGAAAGCUGCCCAGAGACUAGAAAUUCUCACCUUGAUAGUUAUGGGAAAGAAAAAUAAAGUUGUAUUAAUAAAAGCCAUUAAAAUUUGUUAUAGGAGCUAUCAUCAGCCAAACUAAUCAAUUCUGGAAAGGUUGGGCAGGAAGCAUAAGUAAAAGUUCAUACACUGUGCGGAAGAGAUUGGGUUUGAUCUUGGAGACUGGAUUGAAGUAUGAUAUAAUUUUAAGUAUGAAAAAGACACUAUUAGGCUCUUGUUUUAGAAAGACUGAAUUGUGACAGGGAGAAGAAUGAUUUGUAGAGUAGGAGAAGAAAGGAGAUCAUCUUAGUGACAAAGAUACUAUCCUGAAAAAAAUAGUGAGAUGGUGUUUAGUGAAGUUGGAAAGGAGGAGAUGAAUUCCAAGGAUGGGAAAAAAAAAAAUAAAAGGACAGGUGCUGCUUGGUGACUACAGAUUUUGGGGAGAGAAAGGGAAGGGGAUUAUUUCCCGUUGCCUUUGGGGGAAUGGGGAAUGUCUCCAUUUUGAACAAUUGGAUAGAUGCUAGUGCAUACGUAUAGACAUCAGAGAAUGAGAAUAGGAGUAGAGUUUAGCUAGAUUUGUUGAGUGUGAGAUGGCUGUGGGACGUCAAAGUAGAGACAAUGGGUAGGUAGUUAAGGUAGAUAGUUAAGACAUUCCUCCCUACCUGUUGAGAGAACUUGAAAUAUGCACAGUAAUUGAUGUUAUAGAAACACCCACACCACUGAGUUUGCAGCAUGAGGAAUGGGUCAAGGAUGGAAAUGAGACACUGGUAUUUAAUGAGUGUGGGUACUGUAUCCUUCCCUUAAAGAAACUGAAAGGGAGGAAGGACAAAGAGCGCAAUGUAA